rnacentral:rRNA from 1 species
GGGGAAUAUUGGACAUUGGGCGAAAGCCUGAUCCAGCCAUGCCGCGUGUGUGAAGGAAGACUGCCUUAUGGGUUGUAAACUUCUUUUAUACAGGAAUAGAAAGGCUUACGUGUAGGCCAUUGCAAGUACUGUAUGAAUAAGCAUCGGCUAACUCCGUGCCAGCAGCCGCGGUAAUACGGAGGAUGCGAGCGUUAUCCGGAUUUAUUGGGUUUAAAGGGUGCGCAGGCGGGCUUUUAAGUCAGCGGUGAAAUCUGGACGCUUAACGUCCAAACGGCCGUUGAAACUGGGAGUCUUGAGUAUGGAUGAAGUAGGCGGAAUUCGUUGUGUAGCGGUGACAUGCAUAGAUAUAACGAGGAACUCCGAUUGCGUAGGCAGCUUACUAAGCCAUAACUGACGCUCAUGCACGAAAGCGUGGGGAUCAAACA